GAUUAUCUGACAAAAAUGGGGAACAACGCAAAUGGCGGCGGCGAUAACAGCGACUUUGGUGUUCGCUGCAAGACGUCGUCCUUUGGCCUGUAGUUUAUCGUCUUCCUCGACACCAACAAACACGAGAAGGCUUGUUCUAUACUCUAAACCUGGAUGUUGUCUCUGCGAUGGUCUUAAAGAGAAGCUUAACGCUGCCUUCUCUCUUUCCCCCGGUUCCGAUUCACUCAACGACGUUGUGCUUCAGGUAAGGGAUAUCACUACGAAUCCCGUUUGGGAACGAGCUUAUCAGUAUGAGAUACCGGUUUUGGCUAAAGAGAACUCUGAUGGCAAAGAGGAAAUUUUGCCGAGGUUAUCUCCACGUUUAAGUGCGGAAAUCAUACAGAAGAAGCUACUUGCUGCCUUUAGUUGAUCAAUUACGUACACGACAACCGAAAAAAAAAGAGAAGAAGAAAACGUGUGUAAGGUGCUGCGAUGUAAACACCUUGCAACUCAGAAUUCUAUUUCUCUAUGUCAAACUGAAAGCAAGUUUGCUCAUGUAAGCUUUCAUUAUCUUUGGAAUAAAAUAUCUGCUAGUUGUUCAAUCAUUUAGGUCUCUUAUGUUACUUGUCGAUCACUCUGGUUUUAUGAAUCCCUUCUCGCUCUUCUCAACAAAUAUAUUACUACAUUCAUACUAUGAUAACAUAUUGCUAUAUUAGACGAAA